UACAGAGGUCCCGAGCGUUGUUCGGAUUUACUGGGCGUAAAGGGCGCGUAGGCGGUGGGGUAAGUUUGAGGUGAAAGCUCCGGGCUCAACCCGGAAACUGCCUUGAAAACUAUCCGGCUAGAGGGUUGGAGGGGAGACUGGAAUUCUCGGUGUAGCAGUGAAAUGCGUAGAUCUCGAGAGGAACACCAGUGGCGAAGGCGGGUCUCUGGACAACACCUGACGCUGAGGCACGAAAGCCAGGGGAGCAAACGGG
rnacentral:rRNA from 1 species